GAUCUUGGCAGCGGGCGAGGAGGCUGCGAGCGAGCCGCGAACCGAGCGGGCGGCGGGCGCGCGCACCAUGGGGGAGAAACCCGGGACCAGGGUCUUCAAGAAGUCGAGCCCUAACUGCAAGCUCACCGUGUACUUGGGCAAGCGGGACUUCGUAGAUCACCUGGACAAAGUGGACCCUGUAGAUGGCGUGGUGCUUGUGGACCCUGACUACCUGAAGGACCGCAAAGGUACUGGCCCCAAGUCCAGGGGGCCCAGGGAAAGUGGGGGCUAGGGAAGUGAAAUGGGCUGGCCUUGGAAGGGCGCCCCAGAGAGAUGGAGGCUGGAGGUGGAAGCCAGGAGUAGGGUUCAGGCAAGUCUUAUGCUGCUGAGGGAGGAGCAGCGGCUGCUAGGUGCCGGGGGACUGGGGAAGUGGGGCUCCUGACCACUCAUCUCACCCUCCCUUGCCAGUGUUUGUGACCCUCACCUGCGCCUUCCGCUAUGGCCGUGAAGACCUGGAUGUGCUGGGCUUG
rnacentral:sRNA from 1 species